GAAUGAACUGAGCACUGACGAGUUUGUUAAUUUCUUCGCGAAUGACCUCCCGACGUUCUGGGGCAAACUGUCUUUUCCUCUGCUUUACUGGUCUGGCCCCUGGGCUAAUGUUAAGCCUAUGGACUGCAAUUUUAGGGUCUAUCCCUGACAUAUCCUCAAUCUUCCAGGCAAAAACGUCAAUGUUGCGAGAUAAGCAACCAACAAGUUCUGUCUUUAGGGUG
rnacentral:lncRNA from 1 species